GAUGGUGGUGGUUCAGUCGACGAUGGCGUAUAAGAUGGUUGCCAACAGUAGUGACGCCGACGGUGGUGGUGGUUCAGUUCGUCGGAAAGCAUAAACUAGAGCACGUCAUCUCGUUUUCGAUCUGGAAGUUAUAUACGAAUCUGGAACAACAAGUUCAUACGGAUCCAUGUUUUAUCUGCGUUGGAAUUCUUUUCUCACCACUUGAGUUGCUGAUGUUGUGUCGGUUGCUGAUGUUGAGUUGCUGAGUUGCUCGGAAGGUGUUCGAUGUUGGUUUCGAUUCUUCAGAGCUGAAAAAUGAGAUGGGUGUGGUUUUUAGUUUUAUUUGCUUUUGUAUCUGAUCUCUCGGAUGUUUUAUAA
rnacentral:lncRNA from 1 species